UACGGGAGGGGGCUAGCGUUGUUCGGAAUUACUGGGCGUAAAGCGCACGUAGGCGGCUUUGCAAGUUAGAGGUGAAAGGCCCGGGGCUCAACUCCGGAAUUGCCUUUAAAACUGCAUCGCUAGAAUUGUGGAGAGGUAAGUGGAAUUCCGAGUGUAGAGGUGAAAUUCGUAGAUAUUCGGAAGAACACCAGUGGCGAAGGCGACUUACUGGACACAUAUUGACGCUGAGGUGCGAAAGCGUGGGGAGCAAACAGG
rnacentral:rRNA from 1 species